ACCUUCGCCCACGUCCUUAGCUUGGAUGGAGAAAGAUCGAAUACUCUGAUCGCUAGAGAUGGUCUCUCUAGAUUGGGCGU
rnacentral:tRNA from 1 species